rnacentral:misc_RNA from 1 species
UUUCCGUAGGUGAACCUGCGGAAGGAUCAUUAGUGAAUUCUGAGUAGGCUCUGCCUCUCACUCUUCAUAUCCAUAAACACCUGUGCACAGUCGGACCCUUGAGUCUUUCGGGACUCCUGGUGUCUUGACAAUCUUAUCAAACAUCAAUGUAACCAAUGUAAUCAUUAUUAUAACAUAAUAAAACUUUUAACAACGGAUCUCUUGGCUCUC